rnacentral:rRNA from 1 species
UAAUAGCGUAUAUUAAAGUUGUUGCAGUUAAAAAGCUCGUAGUUGGAUUUUUGAGUAGGGAGAUUGGCCCGACGCAAGUUGGUGUUGAUCACUCGGCUCACCUUUCUAGAAGGGUUGUGGUUGCACUUAAUUGUGCACCGCCUCCAGUCUAGGACCUUUACUUUGAGCAAAAUAGAGUGUUCAAAGCAGGCUAACGCCUUGAAUACAUUAGCAUGGAAUAAUCACAUAGGACUUUGGUUCUACUUUAUUGGCUUUAAGGACUGAAGUAAUGAUUAAUAGGGAUAGUUGGGGGCAUUCAUAUUUCAUUGUCAGAGGUGAAAUUCUAAGAUUUAUGAAAGAUGAACUUCUGCGAAAGCAUUUGCCAAGGAUGUUUUCAUUAAUCAAGAACGAAAGUUAGGGGAUCGAAGACGAUCAGAUACCGU